CACACACACACACACACACACACACACACACACACAGAAUCCAGGCCACUGGCCUCAGACUUGACUUAGAAGCAACAUUUCUGGGGAGAUUUAAGUCUAAUGCCAACAGUUGUAUUGCCCUUCACUCUGGAGGGGCAGCAGGGAGCGUGACAGCCGCACUUGCUGAUCUAACACCAAUUCUUCCAUUUGAACCUGAUAAACAAAAGCAUGAACCAUCUCUCACAUGAUGGAAAAAGGAAGGGCCUUUCCAACUCGUAAGUAGCAGCUAGCAGCUCUCAGCUUAAUCACUGUGCUUUGACGCUUGCGUUGGAUAGAUAGUUAGGCUGAGUUUGAAGUACUUUGAAGAUGCUCAGCAAUUGCACAAAAAUACUUGGUUAUAAAAAAAAAUCAAGAACAACUCUUCCAAACUCAGGUUUUAUAUAAUUUGAAUAAAAAACCACUGGAACCAAGUUACUAACUGCUGGAAGACUGACUGAAUGGCCCGCACAGCUCUGUGUCCUAUGGCUUCCCAAGCAAAGAGAACUAGGCAUGAAAGAGAACCUGUGACCACAGAAAAACUGAUCCAGAUCACGGACUGGCCGUGCCUGGAGGUGGAGGGUGAGACAGUCAUCGGGACAAAGGAUAAUGAGGAUGACUCAGUCACUGAUGGAAAGGCUCGUGCUGAAGGCCAAAGGAGGCAGGACCAAACGCACAGUGAGCACCCGCGUUGAUAGCAUCAGUCGUCAUCACUUACGGAAAUCCAGUUUCCCUGAAAAGACACGCAGAAAGUACAUCCAUGAUGACUUUAAGACACUCAAAGGAAAUACGAAGAACCGAGGCCAGAAAGAGUAAAGCCCUUUGUGGUGGGAGCUGCAGAUCCAACCGAGCACAUCCUUGCUGAUUUCAGUAACUACCAGCGAGAGCGUGAAUCCAGAUGGCCUGGUCUCUCUCCUGGACUACUGUGAUGAUUGUGUCACUCAGAGUUUGAUUUCCUUUAAGGAUGGUUGAGAAGUGGAAACGUGUUCACAAACCGAGCAAUGACUUCGCAUCUGUCACCUGCCACCAUGACUGGCUGCUGCUUGUCAUUCCUAUAACAUUCCUAUAAAAUAAGUGAUUCUGAUGUCA